rnacentral:rRNA from 1 species
UAGAACGGGCCAACGAGUUACGUUAAGUAGCAAGGUUAAGCACUUAAGGUGCGGAGCCGUAGCGAAAGCGAGUUUUAACUGAGCGUUCAGUUACGUGACGUAGACCCGAAACCGGGCGACCUACCCAUGAGCAGGAGGAAGCGAAAGUAAAAUUUCGUGGAGGUCCGAACCCACGAGCGUUGAAAAGCUCGGGGAUGACUUGUGGGUAGCGGUGAAAUUCCAAUCGAGCCCGGAGAUAGCUGGUUCUCCCCGAAAUAGCUUUAGGGCUAGCCUCAAGGUGAGAGAUACGGAGGUAGAGCACUGAAUGUCCUAGGGGGUAUUGCACCUACCGAAG